AAUUUUCUCUAUUCAUGCCUUAUUUUACAGGGUCAUGCAGGUAAAUCCGGAAAUAAUUAAUGCAGGAAUUUGUACUAUUUCCGGUUGAGCGAUAAUUUGGCUAUACUUGCAUGUGAUAUGGUAGUGACUUUGGUAGAGUCUAAGCAUUCACAAAAUGGCCGCCACGUCAUUAGCACAUGCAGAACACAAUCGGAGAGUGGCUAUACUCGAGUCUCUUCGCGCCGGAAAGUCGCCACGGAAAAUAAUUGAGUGGUUCGGUUACAAGAAGACGCAGGUUUAUGACCUAGCGAAGAGGUUCAGGGAGGUUCUGAGAUGGAGGAAGUCAUUCCUGACUGGGUCGAACAUCGAAAGCGGUCUGACUGUAAAGGUGGUG
rnacentral:lncRNA from 1 species